rnacentral:rRNA from 2 species
CUUGCUUUUGAAGAUCAGCGGCGGACGGGUGAGUAACACGUGGGCAACCUGCCUGUAAGACUGGGAUAACUUCGGGAAACCGGAGCUAAUACCGGAUAAUCCUUUUCCUCUCAUGAGGAAAAGCUGAAAGACGGUUUCGGCUGUCACUUACAGAUGGGCCCGCGGCGCAUUAGCUAGUUGGUGAGGUAACGGCUCACCAAGGCGACGAUGCGUAGCCGACCUGAGAGGGUGAUCGGCCACACUGGGACUGAGACACGGCCCAGACUCCUACGGGAGGCAGCAGUAGGGAAUCUUCCGCAAUGGACGAAAGUCUGACGGAGCAACGCCGCGUGAACGAUGAAGGCCUUCGGGUCGUAAAGUUCUGUUGUCAGGGAAGAACAAGUACCGGAGUAACUGCCGGUACCUUGACGGUACCUGACCAGAAAGCCACGGCUAACUACGUGCCAGCAGCCGCGGUAAUACGUAGGUGGCAAGCGUUGUCCGGAAUUAUUGGGCGUAAAGCGCGCGCAGGCGGUUCCUUAAGUCUGAUGUGAAAGCCCCCGGCUCAACCGGGGAGGGUCAUUGGAAACUGGGGAACUUGAGUGCAGAAGAGGAGAGCGGAAUUCCACGUGUAGCGGUGAAAUGCGUAGAGAUGUGGAGGAACACCAGUGGCGAAGGCGGCUCUCUGGUCUGUAACUGACGCUGAGGCGCGAAAGCGUGGGGAGCGAACAGGAUUAGAUACCCUGGUAGUCCACGCCGUAAACGAUGAGUGC